UGGAUUAAGAGCUUGCUCUUAUGAAGUUAGCGGCGGACGGGUGAGUAACACGUGGGUAACCUGCCCAUAAGACUGGGAUAACUCCGGGAAACCGGGGCUAAUACCGGAUAACAUUUUGAACCGCAUGGUUCGAAAUUGAAAGGCGGCUUCGGCUGUCACUUAUGGAUGGACCCGCGUCGCAUUAGCUAGUUGGUGAGGUAACGGCUCACCAAGGCAACGAUGCGUAGCCGACCUGAGAGGGUGAUCGGCCACACUGGGACUGAGACACGGCCCAGACUCCUACGGGAGGCAGCAGUAGGGAAUCUUCCGCAAUGGACGAAAGUCUGACGGAGCAACGCCGCGUGAGUGAUGAAGGCUUUCGGGUCGUAAAACUCUGUUGUUAGGGAAGAACAAGUGCUAGUUGAAUAAGCUGGCACCUUGACGGUACCUAACCAGAAAGCCACGGCUAACUACGUGCCAGCAGCCGCGGUAAUACGUAGGUGGCAAGCGUUAUCCGGAAUUAUUGGGCGUAAAGCGCGCGCAGGUGGUUUCUUAAGUCUGAUGUGAAAGCCCACGGCUCAACCGUGGAGGGUCAUUGGAAACUGGGAGACUUGAGUGCAG
rnacentral:rRNA from 1 species